rnacentral:misc_RNA from 1 species
UCCUGGUUAACCCAGGCAGUCUCAUUAGAGUUCCCACCUUUACGUGUUGGCAACUAAUGAUAAGGGUUGCGCUCGUUGCGGGACUUAACCCAACACCUCACGGCACGAGCUGACGACAGCCAUGCAGCACCUGUACAGCAGUCCCGAAGGAAGAUAUCAUCUCUGAUACUGUCUACUGUAUGUCAAGCCUGGGUAAGGUUCUUCGCGUUGCAUCGAAUUAAACCACAUGCUCCACUGCUUGUGCGGGUCCCCGUCAAUUCUUUUGAGUUUCACCCUUGCGAGCGUACUCCCCAGGCGGUAUACUUAUCGCGUUAGCUUCGACACAACUAGGGUUGAUUCCAGUUACAUCAAGUAUACAUCGUUUACGGCAAGAACUAC